rnacentral:rRNA from 1 species
GACGAACGCUGGCGGCGUGCCUAACACAUGCAAGUGGAGCGACGAACCGGGCUUCGGCCCGGGGCCAAGCCGCGAACGGGUGAGUAACACGUGGGUAACCUGCCCUGAUGAUUGGGACAACCCGAGGAAACUCGGGCUAAUACCGAAUGUGCCCUCCGACCAUAAGGUCUGCGGGGAAAGGAAGCUUCGGCCUCCGCAUCGGGAUGGGCCCGCGGCGCAUUAGCUUGUUGGUGAGGUAACGGCUCACCAAGGCGACGAUGCGUAGCUGGUCUGAGAGGACGAUCAGCCACACUGGGACUGAGACACGGCCCAGACUCCUACGGGAGGCAGCAGUGGGGAAUCUUGCGCAAUGCGCGAAAGCGUGACGCAGCAACGCCGCGUGGGGGAAGAC